UGCUGUUUCGCUGACGAGUGGCGGACGGGUGAGUAAUGUCUGGGAAACUGCCUGAUGGAGGGGGAUAACUACUGGAAACGGUAGCUAAUACCGCAUAACGUCGCAAGACCAAAGAGGGGGACCUUCGGGCCUCUUGCCAUCGGAUGUGCCCAGAUGGGAUUAGCUAGUAGGUGGGGUAAAGGCUCACCUAGGCGACGAUCCCUAGCUGGUCUGAGAGGAUGACCAGCCACACUGGAACUGAGACACGGUCCAGACUCCUACGGGAGGCAGCAGUGGGGAAUAUUGCACAAUGGGCGCAAGCCUGAUGCAGCCAUGCCGCGUGUAUGAAGAAGGCCUUCGGGUUGUAAAGUACUUUCAGCGGGGAGGAAGGGAGUAAAGUUAAUACCUUUGCUCAUUGACGUUACCCGCAGAAGAAGCACCGGCUAACUCCGUGCCAGCAGCCGCGGUAAUACGGAGGGUGCAAGCGUUAAUCGGAAUUACUGGGCGUAAAGCGCACGCAGGCGGUUUGUUAAGUCAGAUGUGAAAUCCCCGGGCUCAACCUGGGAACUGCAUCUGAUACUGGCAAGCUUGAGUCUCGUAGAGGGGGGUAGAAUUCCAGGUGUAGCGGUGAAAUGCGUAGAGAUCUGGAGGAAUACCGGUGGCGAAGGCGGGCCCCUGGACGAAGACUGACGCUCAGGUG
rnacentral:rRNA from 1 species